GUGGGGAAUAUUGCACAAUGGGCGAAAGCCUGAUGCAGCGACGCCGCGUGAGCGAAGAAGUAUUUCGGUAUGUAAAGCUCUAUCAGCAGGGAAGAUAAUGACGGUACCUGACUAAGAAGCACCGGCUAAAUACGUGCCAGCAGCCGCGGUAAUACGUAUGGUGCAAGCGUUAUCCGGAUUUACUGGGUGUAAAGGGAGCGCAGGCGGUGCGGCAAGUCUGAUGUGAAAGCCCGGGGCUCAACCCCGGUACUGCAUUGGAAACUGUCGUACUAGAGUGUCGGAGGGGUAAGCGGAAUUCCUAGUGUAGCGGUGAAAUGCGUAGAUAUUAGGAGGAACACCAGUGGCGAAGGCGGCUUACUGGACGAUAACUGACGCUGAGGCUCGAAAGCGUGGGGAGCAAACAGGAUUAGAAACCCUUGUAGUCC
rnacentral:rRNA from 1 species